rnacentral:snRNA from 1 species
UGACUGAAUUAUCCGGGAGACAAUAUACUCAUGGAAAUAGUUUUCCCAGGAUGAAGCUGAUCCAUUACACUUUGAGUGUGUUGAUCCCUAUGCUUUUCCCAAAUGUGGGAAAACUGCUUGCAUAAUUUAUAAUC